AUUGAACGCUGGCGGAAUGCUUUACACAUGCAAGUCGAACGGCAGCACGGGGGCAGCCCUGGUGGCGAGUGGCGAACGGGUGAGUAAUACAUCGGAACGUGCCCGGUCGUGGGGGAUAACGUAGCGAAAGUUACGCUAAUACCGCAUACGAUCUGAGGAUGAAAGCGGGGGACCUUCGGGCCUUGCGCGAUCGGAGCGGCCGAUGUCAGAUUAGGUAGUUGGUGGGGUAAAGGCCUACCAAGCCGACGAUCUGUAGCUGGUCUGAGAGGACGACCAGCCACACUGGGACUGAGACACGGCCCAGACUCCUACGGGAGGCAGCAGUGGGGAAUGUUGGACAAUGGGCGCAAGCCUGAUCCAGCCAUUCCGCGUGCAGGACGAAGGCCUUCGGGUUGUAAACUGCUUUUGUACGGAACGAAAAGGCUCUGGCUAAUACCUGGGGCUCAUGACGGUACCGUAAGAAUAAGCACCGGCUAACUACGUG
rnacentral:rRNA from 1 species